AAUGCAUCGUCCGGGAAUCGAAAGCGGGCCGCCCGCGUGGCAGGCAAGCAUUCUACCACUGAACCACAAUGGU